AACGCGUAGAAGCAGGUGGCAGCACCAGACAGGACUCCAGUCAGGCCAAAUGGAGCAAAGCCACCCACGCCAAAUUCCUCCUCAACCCUGAGUGGCAAAAGACAAUGAUGCACAGUUUAACAAUCAAACAGGUUCCAGUUGGCGGUGUCACCCUUAACAAAGCCAGAGAUGAUAACGAAGCCCAGAACCACCAGAUUGAUGCCGGUGAAGAUCUUAUUCACCAGCGCCGACUCGUUCACACCAAAGGCCAGAAGUCCUGAGGGCAAGCCAAGAGGAGAGAGAGAAUUCAUAUUCCAGCACCAAUAACAACAUGUCCUGCUAUGUGGGUGGAUGUGUUGGUACUUCAUAACGUCCAACAUGCCAACAUUAGUCGGCGACACCAAUUCACCAAUUAUCUAUUUCUAACACUGCUACUGGCAUGUCACACUAGCAGCAAUAUUAGUGUGACAACUGUUCUGGUUGUUGAGCAGUGUUUUUCAUACAAUGCUAACAAUGGUUAAUGUGGAAUGCAUUAAUUAAACACAUGUUUAAUAUACACAUUUAUAAAAAGCUAUGGAGCGUCAUCUGUUUCACAAACCUUUGUCACAGCUUGCAUUUGUCAAUGAGUUGCAAGCCAAGUUCAACCACAGAGGGAUGUUCCUUCCUCAGAUUGUUUAAUUAAAAACUUUAAGAAGGGGUAAAACUUUCAGUAUUUCACAAUUAAAAAAAAA